AUUCUAUAUAUAUAUAUAUUUUAUUGCUUGUAUUUUAACUCCUCACUGGCAUUGCUGCUUCCUUUCUGACUGUUGGAAUAUUUGAUUUAAAUUUUUUUUUUUUAUUAUUUUGUACUGUUUUAUGCUUUGAUCUGUCCUGGGACUUUCCACGAUCCUGGCUGUUUUUUGUUACAUUGUGUUUGUUUAGAAUUUAAAGCACAGAAUGCUGUUUAUGGAUGGAGGGGAUUUAAAUGGGGUCUCCGCUUGAUUGGGGUUUAAAUAAGAAAUGAAUGAAUUUAUAAGAAAGUGGUGAUUUACAGUUUUUGCAGGGAGCCGAGCAGAUGUUAUGCAUCUAAUUAGUGGAAAUUUGAAAUAAAUCCAUUAAAAUGUUAUCCAUUAGUGUGCGUUUUAUACAUCCGUGCAAUAUUAAUGCUUGUUAAGCGAUUGUAAUGUCUACCUUAGUGUUCUGUUUGUGCUUUUUGGACAUAUUGUUAUUUUCUAUCUUUAUUGUCGGUCUAGGCUUAUUGCCCUAAUUACUGUGUCUGCUCGUUGUUUAAGAAAUGGUUAACUAAGCUGUGAAUGUUUCAGACACAUUGUAAGCUCACAUGAGAAUGUUUAACUGCCUGAGGUUUCUUUUAUUUCUCUGUCUCUCUCUCUGUAUAUAUAUAUAUUUAAAUAUAUUUUAUAACUGCAACUAUCAGCAAAGAAACGUAUUGGGUUUUACUGGCACUGAAAGGGUUAAGAAUCGUUAGCAGCUAAACCCAUGAAAUGAACAUAUAUGAAAUAUGUAGAAUGUAUGUAUAUAAUUGGCAUGUUAGUAAAUCAAAGCUCGUUCUAUAUGUGUAGUUAAAGUUACCCUACAUUCUUUCUGUUUGUACCAUCGAUGCCGGAGUUAUUGAACAAGUAACUGAUAACCGAACAUCACGUUUAAUGCGCUCUAUUCUCUCUCAAUUGGGAUCUCUAUUGAUUUUUUUUUUUUACGUUUUCAGCACGUUUCCGAUAGGAAAUUGAUUAUAAUGCUUGAAUUGCAGUCACGGGGUUCUGAAUUUAAUACAUGGAUGUACGUCUUUGACUCUUUCUGUAAUUAAUUUAAUGUUGGGAUUCAAGGGGCAUAAAGACUGAUGAAAAGGCCUUGCAUGAUUUAUAAUUUUAGAAAUGAUUUAAUUGUGCGUAUUUGCAACAUUUUAUAUGAAGUAGUCUCUUUAUUUAAGUGUUUCUGGAAAAAUGUGUACUUUUUGGUGCAUAUAAAUAAACAAAAUAAACCAGGGAAAAGUUCCUUCAAGCUGAAAAGAAAGUUGUUAAAGUUUGCAAUUUCCCGUCUGUUUCCAGACGGGGAAAGCUCGCUUGGAACAAUAUCUUAAAGUGUUCGACCAUUUCUAUGAAUGCGUUACAGUUGCAGCUUUUAAAUGAAGAUUUGGGUUUGUGAUAUUGCUCAGUUUAAACAGCAUUCAUUUGGCUUCUACAGAUGGGUUUCUGUGUAAUAUUUUUUUCUUAAGGGAUUUUAAUUAAAGCAAUUAAGAAGGAAAGAGGAUUGUGUGUGGUGAGUGUUUGUAGUUUUAGAGGCUGUUGUACACUUAUAUCCAUCUGCUUUUUGGGAUAAGGGGAGCGGACAGUUACCCCCCAUCUGUCUGUCGGGGCUAGUAUCGGACUAAAGCGUAUUUUGGUUUCGUUUGUAAGAAUGAUCACAUUUUAAAAAAAGUAAAAAAGUAGAUCUGAUCUUCAGCUUUCUUUAAUCUGUCUUCAUGAUGAUAGUUGGUCUUACAAACUGUACAACUUUUAGCAUUAAUAAAAAUAUCAGAAUAACUUGAAAACAAGACUAAAACAUGGCCAGCAAGCUGUGAAUACGAGUUUUAAUAAUUCCUCUACGUAUUACAUGAAAUAAGUAAUACUACCAAUGUAAUAUUACAUUAAAUCCAUCCACGGACAGUAUAUAUGUCAGAAUAUCCCUUCAAUUAUUUCAUAGUUAUGGAAUUAACACAGGUAACAAGACAUACGCAGGCAAGGCCGUGGUCAGCAGAAGCUGUGAACGAGCUGUCUGUAUCGAUCUUGCAGAAUCUCAGUCUUAAUUAACCGAAUCUUAGAGCCCGACUUCUCGACCUCCGACCCCAAGCAUGGCGGCCUUUUUUUCUUCUUCAGAUUAAUUUCAGAUUGGCUGACAGCACAGAGUAAUGACUGGGAAGUGUCUCCAGGCUGUUACUCAUUAAGUUAGACUUGCCGAGUAAAAUCCACCUGUUAUUAACAUUAUCGUUAAUUAAUGCCCAGGGUUGGUGCAGUCAGAUUUCCUUUCCGCUGAUGAUACUGCUCAUUUAACCUUCUCAUGCCUGCUUCUCGUGUGUUCUGGAUGGGUGCGUGUAUCGAGGUGUCAAUUUCAGUCUGGGACCCAGCGAUGUAUUUUGCAAUUGCCCCACGUAGUUUUAUACCUCUGGAAAUCCCUAUUUAUGCUUUUUAAAUUACAUUUGCUCCAUCUGGAGUGGCCUAUCUGCCAUUUGGAAUCUCCCCUGCCCUACGAACCAGAAAAUAGUUAAUUUCCUUUCCGUAAAGUCACUCGAAUUGUGAACCAAAGUGUCUUUCAGAGCACAACUUGAGAAACAAAGAGUUAGCUUAUUGAUUCUUCCUCUCUCUGUUAAAAGUAUAACGUAGAAUAAUCUUCCCAUAUAACGUGCAUUCCAGACUUACAUAAUUUAACUACAAUAUAUAUAUGUUAAUAGUUACAGAACCUUUUGAUUUCUAUAGCUUAAUGAUAUAAUCGGAAAAUGAAAAUUAGAAGCCAUAAUGGCAUUCAUAUUAUUAAUUUAACUCUCUCUCUCU